UAGACAGGAGUGCUGCAUCUGGAUGGCAUGGCAGAGGGAAGCCCCAGCUGCCACUGCUCCAGGGACCCUUAUAGUUCCACGGUGAUGGGGAACAGAAAGAGGCUCUUCCAGGAAACAGCCUUGGGGACAAGGAGACCACACUUCUGGGUGAUUCGAAGAUCAGACAAGGCUCCUGUAAAAUGAACGAAUGAAGUGAAUGAAUGAGACGGUUGUGGCCACGUUAGUCCAGCCCAGAAGAGUCUCCAGGGGCCCGAGCAUCUGUCCUCAUAUCAGAACUAGCUUUGGGAUUGUGACUUUGGGGUUGCUUUGUUGGCCUUCCUUUUCCUGUCAGGCUGCAUAUAGGGCUGGGGGCUGUCAACCGCA
rnacentral:lncRNA from 1 species